CCUAGAGUUGUAGGCUUUGCCUGCUAUCUCUUACCCAUGUCUUUUGAGUACUUACGUUUCCUCGGCGGGUCCGCCCGCCGAUUGGGCAAUUUAAACCAUUUGCAGUUGCAAUCAGCGUCUGAAAAACUUUAAUAGUUA
rnacentral:misc_RNA from 1 species